GUUCAGAAGUUUGGCUCUGAUUGGAAAACGCAGAACGUCUCUUGCGUCUCAGUGGGCCGGGCUUGCUUAUGAUGGGUGGGGCUAAGGGCAGUUGCCCAGGGCGUGGAAUAGUAAUGAUUGUCUUACCUGAGUUAGUGCUGCAGUUGUAAAGUUAAGUGCUGGAGAAGUUUGAUUUCUGCCAGUGGCGAGGUCAGGCUAUAUGUACCGCUGAAGGACUACGAAGUCCCAGAUGUGAACAACGGGCUUCCUGUUCCUGCAGCCAGCUGUGCCUGCUGAAUGCUGGUGCGCCCAUCCGCCACCAGGAACUCCUAUCCCUCUGGACUGUAAGCCCAAAUAAACACUUCUUUCUGUAA